CCUACGGGAGGCCGCAGUGGGGAAUAUUGGGCAAUGGGCGCAAGCCUGACCCAGCAACGCCGCGUGAAGGAAGAAGGCCCUCGGGUUGUAAACUUCUUUUAUCAAGGACGAAACAAAUGACGGUACUUGAUGAAUAAGCCAAGGCUAACUACGUGCCAGCAGCCGCGGUAAUCCGUAGGUGGCAAGCGUUAACCGGAUUUACUGGGGGUAAAGGGCGUGUAGGCGGGACUGCAAGUUCGAUGUGAAAACCAUGGGCUCAAACCAUGGUCUGGAUUUGAAACUGUAGUUCGUGAGUGUUGGAGAGGCAGGCGGAAUGCCGUGUGUAGCGGUGAAAUGCGUAGAUAUACGGAGGAAAACCAGUGGCGAAGGCGGCCUGCUGGACAAUAACUGACGCUGAGGCGCGAAAGCGUGGGGAGCAAACAGGAUUAGAGACCCGAGUAGUC
rnacentral:rRNA from 1 species